rnacentral:misc_RNA from 1 species
GAUGAAGAACGUAGCGAAAUGCGAUAAGUAAUGCGAAUUGCAGAAUCCGUGAGUCAUCGAAUCUUUGAACGCACAUUGCGCCCUUUGGUAUUCCGAAGGGCAUGCCUGUUCGAGCGUCAUUAUCACCCCUCAAGCCCCGGCUUGGUGUUGGGCUCUCGGUGGUCGUCUCCGACCACCCGUCUCAAAGAUAGUGACGGCGUCCCAGAGGGAACCGGUACGAGGAGCUUUCACGAGCAUGUACGCGGGACGACUCUGCGGGCGACGGUCUUAUUUACUUUAUAUACAAGUGUUGACCUCGGAUCAGGUAGGAAUACCCGCUGAACUUAAGCAUAUAAUAAGCGGAGGA